rnacentral:lncRNA from 1 species
CUCUAGUGUCCUUUACAUCACUUUAUGUUGCAAACUUAUGCAAUCACAUUCUUUACAUUUCAUUGCUCUUGUUAACUCUAGCAUUUUCUUGUUCGUUACAUUUCUUGUUCUUAUUGCCUCACUUUACUUUAACUUUACACAUCGUCAUCUACAUCAUUCUUUACAUCUCUUUGGUUCUUUGCUUCACACUACCUCUAGUGUCUUUUUACUUUACAUUUUCAAAU